UUUUUUUUUUUUUUUUUGAGAUAGGGUCUUCUCUGAUGCCCAGACUGGAGUGCAGUGGCUGGAUCUCAGCUCACUGCAACCUCCACCUCCUGGAUUCAAGCGAUUCUCCCACCUCAGCCUCCUGAGUAGCUGAGAUUACAGGUGCACGCCACCAUGCCUGGCUAAUUUUUUGUAUUUUUUUUGGGAGGGAGAGGGAGAGGGGGAGGGGAGGAAGGAGGAGGAGGAGGAAGAGGAGGAGGAGGAAGGAAGGAAGGAAGGAAGGAAGGAAGGAAGGAAGGAAGGAAGGAAGGAAGGAAGGAAGGAAGGAUCUCCAAGCACAGUGGCUCACGCCUGUAAUCCCAGCACUUUGGGAGGCCGAGGAGGGUGGAUCACCUUAGGUCAGGAGUUUGAGACCAGCCUGGCCAACAUGGUGAAACCCCGUCUCUACUAAAAAUACAAAAAUGAGCCAGGCGUGGUGGCAGGUGCCUGUAAUCUCGGCUACUCAAGAGGCUGAGGCAGGAGAAUCGCUUAAACCCAGGAGAUGGAGGUUGCAGUGAGCAGAGAUCGUGUCAUUUCACUCCAGCCUGGGUGAAAGAGCAAAACUCUGUCUCAAAAAAAUAAGUAAAUAAACUGUCAACAGAGUAAACAGGCAACCUACAGAAUGGGAAAAAUAUUUGCAAACUAUACAUUUGACGAAGGUCUAAUAUCAAGAAUCUAUAAGGAACUCAAAUGAACAGGCAAAAAUCAACCCCCUAAAAAAUGGACAUGAACAGAUAGAUACUUCUCAUAAAAAGACACUCACACAGCCAACAAGCAUAUAAGAAAAAAUGCUCAAUAUCACUAUCAUUAUAGAAAUGCAAAUCAAAACCACAAUGAGAUACUAUCUCACACCAGUCGAAUGGCUAUUAGUAAAAAGUCAAAAAAUAACAGAUGCUGGCAAGGUUGCAGAGAAAAAGGAAUGCUUAUACACUGCUGGUGGGAAUGUAAAUUAAUUCAGCCACUGUGAAAAGCAGUCUGGAGAUUUCUCAAAGAACUUAAAAUAGAACUAUCAUUUGAUCCAGCAAUCUCAUUACUGGGUAUAUACCCAAAGGAAUAUAAAUGGUUCUACCACAAAGACACAAGUACACGUAUGUUCAUUGUAGCACUAGUCACAGUAGCAAAGACAUGAAAUCAACAUAAAUGCCCCUCGAUGGUAGGCUGAAUUAAAAGAAUGUGGUACAUACACACCAUGGAAUGCCAUACAGCUAUUUUUUUAAAAAACGAGAUCCUGGCCUUUGCAGCACAUGGGUGGAGCUGCAGGCCACUAUCGUAAGCAAAUUAACACGGGAACAGAAAACCAAAUGCCAUGUGUUCUCACAUACAAGUGGGAGCUAAACAUCAAGUACACAAGGACACAAAGAAAGGAGCAAUAAGGCUGGGCACGGUGGCUCAUGCCCGUAAUCCCAGCAUUUUGGGAGGCCGAGGCGGGCAGAUCACCUGAGGUCAGAAGUUCGAGACCAGCCUGAUCAACAUGGAGAAACCCCAUCUCCACUAAAAAUACAAAAUUAGCCAGGCAUGGUGGCAUAUGCCUGUAAUCCCAGCUACUCGGGAGGCUGAAGCAGGAAAAUCACUUGACCCCAGGAGGUGGAGGUUGCAGUGAGCCAAGAUCACACCAUUGCACUCUUCAGCCUGGAAAACAAGAGCAAAACUCCAUCUCAAAAAAAAAAGAGGAGGAGGAAGCAAUAGACCAAUGGACACAGGGGCCUAUUUGAGGGUGGAGGGUGGAAGGACGGUGAGGAUUGAAAAACUACCUAUCAAGUAUUAUACGGAUUACCUGAGUGACAAAAUUAUCUGUGCACCAAACCCUCACAACACAUAAUUCACCCAUGUAACAAACCCAUACGUGUAACCCUUGAGUCUAAAAUAAAAGCUGCAAAAAAAAAAGAGAGAGAGAGAAGAGAAAUAUAGUAAUUUUAUGUACUUACGUAUUUUUUAAGAUAAAAGUUACACAAGUACACAAUCAAAAUUUUAAGCCAUAGGAGAGGCUAUAAAUGAAAAGGAAAACACUUCUUAUCUUCAUUCCCACUCCCAACCCCCAAACUCUUCAUUCUAAGACAAAACGUAUUGUACUAGGACUGUCCCUGAGUUCCGUAGAACAUUGGAUGACUCCAUAGGAGUUAUCCCCGUAUCCUAGGAACAUGUCUCCAUGUGACAGCUGUGUGCUGGAGAAUCGUGACCUGGGGGUUGCCGAAAGUCCCCAUCUACCACCAAAAGAAAGAAAAAAAUGCCUAUCAGGGUAUCUGCAAAUCCCACCCCCAAAGCCACUCUUUAAGAGCCUUCUGGAGGCUCCCUGUCUCUGUGGGGUUAAGUUAUGAAGUUGGCUGGGAAGCAUGACUCACAGUCAACACGCUAUCACACAUUCCUGUUCCUGGAACCCCACCUACGAGGAGCCUCUAGAACUGCGCUCUCUAAUAGCCACUAGAUACAUAUGACUAUUCAAAUCUCAAUUAGUUAACAUUUAAAAUUCAGCUAAACCGUGAAGUCUAGCACCCCCUUUCCUGCACCCCCCUCACGAUUCCUGGGCAGCCACUGAUCCUAUGUACAUGGGGUUGACCCCAGCUGUCCAGAGGCACAGAUGGAAAGAAACUGGAAGGUAUCACAGUGCCUAGAGUCAACUCAGCCCCCAGGACUCUCCUUUUAAAUCUUUCUGCCACAUCUCAACUGGCAUUUUUGUUGAAGAUGAACCACUUAGGACCUCACCAGGAGUCCAGAGUGGUGUGAGUACAACCGAGCAAGCCAAGCAAGAAAGGAGCCCCUAUGAGGAAGAGCUCCCACCCACCAAACCCAAACCCAUUUCUCUUCCACGUCUUGAGCCAUAUACAGCUUUCAGGACCCUGUGCCAAGACCCCGACAAGCUCAGGAUCUUCUUCCAAAGUCAGAGCUAAAACAGCCUCAGCCCCAAACCACAGCCGGAAUCACAUGUCCAGACCAGCACUGAACACGCCCAUCUGCCGGCAGAACAAAAGAACACCUUCCCCCGGGUGCUCAAAUCCAUCUGCACAAGUAGCCCACAGGGAUUCCAGCUUUAUCAGAAAAGUCACGCUGGGCCCUUCGGUAAGGAUUUGCUGAGAAGAGAGGGCACCGCACCCCGAUAACAAACCAAAACAGCCCUAGGACACCCUGAGCAAAAGAGAAAUUUCCCAGAGCUUCUCCUGGCAGGAAUGUAUCUAAAUUGCCACCCAAAAAAAUCCCAGAAUAACAGUGAUUCCCCCACUGGUUCAAAAACACCAACAACGCAGCAAGCUAGCUUGAACUUCAAGCUGCCACAUGCUAUAAUGAGUGUGUGGCUAAAUACCUUUCACGAAAUCUAAAAUAAGCCACACAAUAUCUCCUCUCAGCAACUCAAGCAUACACAUGCACACACUCAACUGAGUGUUUUCACGGCAAAUGAAAUAUACCCUGUGAAAAGUUCCUCUGAAACUUGUCUUCUGAAUUUUCAUACCAGCCAAGUGAGUUUCACAGAAGGCGAGAAAUACAGAAGCAAGUUUUUGCCCUUUUUUACCCUCCUUCCCCGUUCUCUUCUCCUUCAUGCCCUGCCUACUGCCCUCCCACUCCAGGCAAGUGAGCUCUGCCAGAGACAGCAGCCUGGGCAUCUUUCACAGCUCAGAGUUCACUAGCCGCACAAGCCCAGGGCCACCUGGACCAAUGAGAAGAGGGAGUGAGUUUAAUCGUGCUGACCAGCAUCCCAGGGGCCUCCCCUCAGGGUUCGUAGAAGGAAGGAGCAGUUGGAGCGAUUCAAGCAGACCUGGAAGCAGGCUUUGGUUGCCCCCCUCGCAAGGCAGCAGAUUGUGAGCCUGGGUUCCCGGAAAUGAAGAAGCCUGCCCUCGGCUACCAUCCAGGAGGAAGGGGAAAGCCUGGCAAGCUUCAGGUCCUUCUAUGCCAGUGAAGCACACAGUGGACCAAGCGCAGUGCCUGUGGACAGCAGCUCCAGCCUGUCGCAGGCC
rnacentral:lncRNA from 1 species